GACGAACGCUGGCGGCGUGCUUAACACAUGCAAGUCGUACGGUAAGGCCCUUUCGGGGGUACACGAGUGGCGAACGGGUGAGUAACACGUGAGUAACCUGCCCACAACUUUGGGAUAACGCUAGGAAACUGGUGCUAAUACUGGAUAUGUGCUCCUGCUGCAUGGUGGGGGUUGGAAAGCUCCGGCGGUUGUGGAUGGACUCGCGGCCUAUCAGCUUGUUGGUGGGGUAGAGGCCUACCAAGGCGGCGACGGGUAGCCGGCCUGAGAGGGUGACCGGCCACAUUGGGACUGAGAUACGGCCCAGACUCCUACGGGAGGCAGCAGUGGGGAAUAUUGCACAAUGGGCGCAAGCCUGAUGCAGCAACGCCGCGUGCGGGAUGACGGCCUUCGGGUUGUAAACCGCUUUCAGCAGGGACGAAGCUUUUUGUGACGGUACCUGCAGAAGAAGCACCGGCUAACUACGUG
rnacentral:rRNA from 1 species